CUGUGCACUUAAAACAGAUGGUUUAAUAGUUCCCUUGGCUUUGACACUGUGCUAGAGUGAUGUGUGUUCUUUCCCUCUGCAUUGAAAGGACUGUUUAUCCUUUUAAAUGCAUUCAGAAAGUCAGCACAUUA
ensembl:snoRNA